rnacentral:rRNA from 1 species
AUUGAACGCUGGCGGCAUGCCUUACACAUGCAAGUCGAACGGCAGCACGGGUGCUUGCACCUGGUGGCGAGUGGCGAACGGGUGAGUAAUACAUCGGAACGUACCUUAUCGUGGGGGAUAACGCAGCGAAAGCUGUGCUAAUACCGCCUACGCCCUGAGGGGGAAAGCGGGGGAUCGCAAGACCUCGCGCGAUUAGAGCGGCCGAUGCCGGAUUAGCUAGUUGGUGGGGUAAAAGCCCACCAAGGCGACGAUCAGUAGCUGGUCUGAGAGGACGAUCGGCCACACCGGGACUGAGAAACGGCCCAGACUCCUGCGGGAGGGAGAAGUGGGGAAUUUUGGACCAUGGGGGCAACCCUGAUCAAGCAAUGACGCGUGAGUGAAGAAGGCCUUCGGGUUGUAAAGCUCGUUUGUCAGGGAAGAAACACCGGCUCUAACACAGUCCGGGAAUGACGGUACCUGAAGAAUAAGCACCGGCUAACUACGUGCCAGCCGCCGCGGUAA